rnacentral:rRNA from 1 species
GAUGAACGCUGGCGGUAUGCUUAACACAUGCAAGUCGAACGGACUCUUCGGAGUUAGUGGCGGACGGGUGAGUAACGCGUGAGAAUCUGGCUUUGGGUUCGGGACAACCACUGGAAACGGUGGCUAAUACCGGAUGUGCCGAGAGGUAAAAGAGAAAUCGCCUGAAGAUGAGCUCGCGUCUGAUUAGCUAGUUGGUGAGGUAAAGGCUCACCAAGGCAGCGAUCAGUAGCUGGUCUGAGAGGAUGACCAGCCACACUGGGAUUGAGACACGGCCCAGACUCCUACGGGAGGCAGCAGUGGGGAAUUUUCCGCAAUGGGCGAAAGCCUGACGGAGCAAUACCGCGUGAGGGAAGAAGGCUCUUGGGUUGUAAACCUCUUUUCUUAGGGAAGAACAAAAUGACGGUACCUAAGGAAUCAGCAUCGGCUAACUCCGUG